UACGGAAGGUCCGGGCGUUAUCCGGAUUCAUUGGGUUUAAAGGGUGCGUAGGCGGGACCUUAAGUCAGCGGUAAAAUUGCGGUGCUCAACGCCGUAGAGCCGUUGAAACUGGGGUUCUUGAGUGAGCGAGAAGUAUGCGGAAUGCGUGGUGUAGCGGUGAAAUGCAUAGAUAUCACGCAGAACGCCGAUUGCGAAGGCAGCUUACCGGCGCUCAACUGACGCUGAGGCACGAAAGUGCGGGUAUCGAACAGG
rnacentral:rRNA from 1 species